rnacentral:tRNA from 1 species
GCCGAGGUGGCGGAACCGGUAGACGCGAGGGACUUAAAAUCCCUUCCCCGUAGUGGGGGUGCGGGUUCGAGCCCCGCCCUCGGCACUA